AGCUGUCGCUAUGGGAUGGCCCCGCGGUGCAUUAGCUAGUUGGUAGGGUAACGGCCUACCAAGGCAAUGAUGCAUAGCCGAGUUGAGAGACUGAUCGGCCACAUUGGGACUGAGACACGGCCCAAACUCCUACGGGAGGCAGCAGUAGGGAAUCUUCCACAAUGGACGAAAGUCUGAUGGAGCAACGCCGCGUGAGUGAAGAAGGUUUUCGGAUCGUAAAGCUCUGUUGUUGGUGAAGAAGGAUAGAGGUAGUAACUGGCCUUUAUUUGACGGUAAUCAACCAGAAAGUCACGGCUAACUACGUGCCAGCAGCCGCGGUAAUACGUAGGUGGCAAGCGUUGUCCGGAUUUAUUGGGCGUAAAGCGAGCGCAGGCGGAAGAAUAAGUCUGAUGUGAAAGCCCUCGGCUUAACCGAGGAACUGCAUCGGAAACUGUUUUUCUUGAGUGCAGAAGAGGAGAGUGGAACUCCAUGUGUAGCGGUGGAAUGCGUAGAUAUAUGGAAGAACACCAGUGGCGAAGGCGGCUCUCUGGUCUGCAACUGACGCUGAGGCUCGAAAGCAUGGGUAGCGAACAGGAUUAGAUACCCUGGUAGUCCAUGCCGUAAACGAUGAGUGCUAAGUGUUGGGAGGUUUCCGCCUCUCAGUGCUGCAGCUAACGCAUUAAGCACUCCGCCUGGGGAGUACGACCGCAAGGUUGAAACUCAAAGGAAUUGACGGGGGCCCGCACAAGCGGUGGAGCAUGUGGUUUAAUUCGAAGCAACGCGAAGAACCUUACCAGGUCUUGACAUCUAGUGCAAUCCGUAGAGAUACGGAGUUCCCUUCGGGGACACUAAGACAGGUGGUGCAUGGCUGUCGUCAGCUCGUGUCGUGAGAUGUUGGGUUAAGUCCCGCAACGAGCGCAACCCUUGUCAUUAGUUGCCAGCAUUAAGUUGGGCACUCUAAUGAGACUGCCGGUGACAAACCGGAGGAAGGUGGGGAUGACGUCAAGUCAUCAUGCCCCUUAUGACCUGGGCUACACACGUGCUACAAUGGACAGUACAACGAGGAGCAAG
rnacentral:rRNA from 1 species